GACGAACGCUGGCGGCGUGCUUAACACAUGCAAGUCGAACGGAAAGGCCCUGCUUUUGUGGGGUGCUCGAGUGGCGAACGGGUGAGUAACACGUGAGUAACCUGCCCUUGACUUUGGGAUAACUUCAGGAAACUGGGGCUAAUACCGGAUAGGAGCUCCUGCUGCAUGGUGGGGGUUGGAAAGUUUCGGCGGUUGGGGAUGGACCCGCGGCUUAUCAGCUUGUUGGUGGGGUAGUGGCUUACCAAGGCUUUGACGGGUAGCCGGCCUGAGAGGGUGACCGGCCACAUUGGGACUGAGAUACGGCCCAGACUCCUACGGGAGGCAGCAGUGGGGAAUAUUGCACAAUGGGCGGAAGCCUGAUGCAGCAACGCCGCGUGCGGGAUGACGGCCUUCGGGUUGUAAACCGCUUUCGCCUGUGACGAAGCGUGAGUGACGGUAAUGGGUAAAGAAGCACCGGCUAACUACGUGCCAGCAGCCGCGGUGAUACGUAGGGUGCGAGCGUUGUCCGGAUUUAUUGGGCGUAAAGGGCUCGUAGGUGGUUGAUCGCGUCGGAAGUGUAAUCUUGGGGCUUAACCCUGAGCGUGCUUUCGAUACGGGUUGACUUGAGGAAGGUAGGGGAGAAUGGAAUUCCUGGUGGAGCGGUGGAAUGCGCAGAUAUCAGGAGGAACACCAGUGGCGAAGGCGGUUCUCUGGGCCUUUCCUGACGCUGAGGAGCGAAAGCGUGGGGAGCGAACAGGCUUAGAUACCCUGGUAGUCCACGCUGUAAACGGUGGGUACUAGGUGUGGGGUCCAUUCCACGGGUUCCGUGCCGUAGCUAACGCUUUAGGUACCCCGCCUGGGGAGUACGGCCGCAAGGCUAAAACUCAAAGGAAUUGACGGGGCCCCGCACAAGCGGCGGAGCAUGCGGAUUAAUUCGAUGCAACGCGUAGAACCUUACCUGGGUUUGACAUGGAUCGGGAGUGCUCAGAGAUGGGUGUGCCUCUUUUGGGGUCGGUUCACAGGUGGUGCAUGGCUGUCGUCAGCUCGUGUCGUGAGAUGUUGGGUUAAGUCCCGCAACGAGCGCAACCCUUGUUCACUGUUGCCAGCACGUUAUGGUGGGGACUCAGUGGAGACCGCCGGGGUCAACUCGGAGGAAGGUGGGGAUGACGUCAAGUCAUCAUGCCCCUUAUGUCCAGGGCUUCACGCAUGCUACAAUGGCUGGUACAGAGAGUGGCGAGCCUGUGAGGGUGAGCGAAUCUCGGAAAGCCGGUCUCAGUUCGGAUUGGGGUCUGCAACUCGACCUCAUGAAGUCGGAGUCGCUAGUAAUCGCAGAUCAGCAACGCUGCGGUGAAUACGUUCCCGGG
rnacentral:rRNA from 1 species